GCUCAGAUAACUCAAUUGGCAGAGUGAAAUAUUGAAGCUAUUUAUGUUGUAAGUUCAAAUCUUACUCUGAGCA
rnacentral:tRNA from 2 species